rnacentral:rRNA from 1 species
CCUACGGGUGACUGCAGUCGAGAAUCAUUCACAAUGGGGGAAACCCUGAUGGUGCGACGCCGCGUGGGGGAAUGAAGGUCUUCGGAUUGUAAACCCCUGUCAUGUGGGCACAAAUUAAAAAGAUAGUACCACACGAGGAAGAGACGGCUAACUCUGUGCCAGCAGCCGCGGUAAUACAGAGGUCUCAAGCGUUGUUCGGAAUCACUGGGCGUAAAGCGUGCGUAGGCUGUUUCGUAAGUCGUGUGUGAAGGGCGCGGGCUCAACCCGCGGACGGCACAUGAUACUGCGAGACUAGAGUAAUGGAGGGGGAACCGGAAUGCUCGGUGUAGCAGUGAAAUGCGUAGAUAUCGAGAGGAACACUCGUGGCGAAGGCGGGUUCCUGGACAUUAACUGACGCUGAGGCACGAAGGCCAGGGGAGCGAAAGGGAUUAGAUACCCCAGUAGUC